rnacentral:rRNA from 1 species
CAGUAGCCGCGGUAAUACGAAGGGGGCUAGCGUUGAUCGGAUUUACUGGGCGUAAAGCGCACGUAGGCGGACUUUUAAGUCAGGGGUGAAAUCCCGGGGCUCAACCCCGGAACUGCCUUUGAUACUGGGUAUCUCGAGUCCGGAAGAGGUGAGUGGAAUUCCGAGUGUAGAGGUGAAAUUCGUAGAUAUUCGGAGGAACACCAGUGGCGAAGGCGGCUCACUGGUCCGGUACUGACGCUGAGGUGCGAAAGCGUGGGGAGCAAACAGGAUUAGAUACCCCAGUAGUCCCUGUCUCUUAUAC